GGGUAUAUAGCUCAGUGGUAGAGUGCAUGCUUUACACACACGAGGUCCUGGGUUCAAUCCCCAGUAUAUCUC
rfam:Camelus ferus unplaced genomic scaffold scaffold602, whole genome shotgun sequence.